GAACUGAACUGGUAAGCCUUCAGACAGGUUACACAUUGCAAUUGCUGCUUUGGAGCUCUCCUUGAAUCACUGUCUUUUGCUCUGACUAUAGAUCCUGAUGUGCUUUGUAAAUGGAAAUUCAGAAGGGAGCUGACUUUCGAGAUCAACAGAUCAAACAUACAGCUAGGACUUUCAGUCCAUUGAACUAUAAUGCAUAUGAAGACUCGACUACAAAUGUGUUGCUUGAAGAGGUCAUUCUUGAUAGAGUGAGCCAGUUCCUCAUGGUAUAAGUUGGCAGCAUGUCAUAAAAGUCAGUGCCUUGAAGUCAAUGGAUCUUUCCAUCAUAUAUAUGAAUUCUGCCUUAUGCCUAGCAUGUGACACACCCUUGGAAGAAGAGAUCGCAUGAAAAGGUAGAUGUAUACAGCUGCAGGAAGAAGAAGCCUAUGGGUAAGCAGAGAAGAUGGUUUGUUGAAGCACAGAAGAGCAGCGGAAGAAAACUGUAAUAAUUUUAUAUAAAUCCCAAGGGACAGAAUCUAUGGGAUACCAUGGAUGCAGGUGGAAGAGACGUUCCUAGGAAGAGGGAAGUCUACUACUGUGUGUAAGAAAAUGCUUUCUGCAAGAGUGUUCCAGGCCACAGGAGGACAUUAGUGGGAGAAAAAGGCCUGAUGAAGAGCUCCAUACAUGAGGAAGAUAAAUGGAAUUCAUCUCUCAAGUUUCUUCUUUGUGAGAUCAAUAAUGAAGGUGUUGAUUCAAGUUACUACUGAAGAGUGGUAGAAAAUUGGCCCAGCUGUAGGAGAUGAAGAAUCAGGAACAGGAUGAACGAUGUGGUUAUUGGGAGGAUAAGAAAAAUAAUAAAGACAAAGACCAUUUGGAAACACCCACACAUAGACAGUGGACAAAGGAAGAAAGAAAUGCUAACUAUAGAAAUAAGUUGUUUAUCCUGAAGAAAGUAAUUAUCAUUGUGCAGGAAGCACAAUGAGACAACAGCAGUUCAUCGAUAAGUAUUUGGAGGAAGCAAUUAACAGGAAUGAAUAAAAAUUUCCCUGUACAAGACACUUGAGUAUACCAGGCUGGUGUUAGUGGAUUCCAGAGAGCUUCCAUAACAGAAACAGAGGGAUGUUUACGCAAAAUAUGAAAAUGAGUAAAAGUUUCUCCAAAAUUUGCAAAUCAGUAAGACUAUGAAGAUGUAUGAAGACCAGAAUUGCCAAGGCUUUUCAUGCUAUGUACAACAUGAAAAAACUGAUACAAAAAAGCAAAAUCAUUUAUUUUCAAAGUGCAAAUACUACAGGGAGAAAAGUCAACUUUAAAGGUACUAUAACUAUAUCCAUACCUGUUUUGGUCCCUCUGAAUAUAUUACUUCUACUACCGUCGUCAUCCAUUAUGGCUUGGGAAGGGAACUAAGAAGAGAGGAAUAUGAUGUCAGUGGAACAGCAAAGCUUGCCUGCAUUUCCUCCCAGGAACAUAGGAGAACCAAGCGCUAGGCCUAGAGCCUAUGUUAAAUGUAUGAAUUGCUCUGCAGUCUGUAGGAGAGAGGAUAAGUAAGUGGGGAAUUCUCAUUAAGAAUGUCCACACCCUCCUCAGAUAUCAGUCACCUCAUAGAUGAGCAUUGACUUGCACAGGAGACUUGCUCACAACAUAUCCACUAAUUCUAAUUUCAGUCUUUGGUACAGGGUCCUUGUCCAAAUAUGCAAAGCCGCAUUCAACGACAGUAAAUCAACAUAAGAAUGCAGGGACAAGGUGAUGCAGAUACGCCCAAUUCAAAACAUUUGCAUUAAAGUGCACCUGAUCCAUAUAUGGUAGUUUGGAAGCUCAGAAGAAUUCAGUGAAUUCUGAUCAAUGCACGAGAUAUACAUGUACAGUUUAAAGGGAGCUCUGUAAAAUUAAGGAAGAGAUGCUGGCAAGAGGCCCACAAAGCACUGUCAGGUCCUGUCUUGCCAUGUCUCUCCUUGAAGUAAGCAAGUCAGUAAGUCGUGUUCACUUGAACAACUCCCGUGAAGGAAAGCAUUAGGUCUGGCAACUCCAUUCUGAGACAGUGAAUAGCAACAGAUCUUUUAGGAGGUCUCAGAAGAGGGUGGGAUUUUGAACUGUAUUACACUGUAGGUUGCCAGAGAGAGUGAUAAGAAAGACAGAAAAAAAUGAAGAAAGGGCAGAAGACUGAGAACAGGCAUCACUUGAAAGACCAUUGAGUUGUUUCUAUCACUUGCUGAAUUGCUCAGUUCCAUGUACAGCAAAUAAUUUUGCUAUCACUGCUGUCAUUGGUACAUUUAGUGGUUUGGGUGAUCUUUAUUUUGCUUCAAGAUGACCAUAUGAAGAAUCCAUGGAGUACAAAGGCAUGUUUUGCUUAACUUGAAUUCAGAUAGGUAGGUAUCCACUAAAGUUUUUUUUAUGUAUGUUCAUAUGCUUAACAAAAAUUUCUAGGCAAUUUGUGGAACAGUCCCUUAUUAAUGAUGCUCUUGACAAUAGCAACAUGGUUUCUUCCUUUCCAGAAAACAGCAGGGUAGACAUUAUAUAAACAUAAUCUUCCUGUAAAUCUUUUCCUGUGAUUGAACCAGGAUAAUUAGAUCUAGUUUUGCCAAAACCACCAGCAACAUAAUUCUAUGAAACUGUCUGGAGCUGAAGGCUAAUAAUUUCAAAAGUAAAUACAAUAUUUACAUUCAUCAGCCUAAUGGAAACAUAAUAAAGAUGUAGAAAAAAGUAUAGUCUAUUAUAAAAGCUGCUUAUAUUCUGUUCAAGUAACUUUAAUAUAAUUUUCAGUUUCUAUAUUACUGUUUUUAACAAUAAUACACCAAUUUUUUCAACCAAGAGGAAGACCCUCAACUAGUAUGUCUUGUGUACAAAAUUACAGUAAAAGGUCAUUCUCACCUCAGAUAGUUUAGUAUCCAAAUAAGCAACAUAAGAGAGAGAAGGAAGCUAGUUCUGUUGUCUCCAGCACACAUGGGAGAGGCCAAAAUACAUAGAUAUAGUCUAUGCAUGUGUGGAAUGAUGGCGGAGUGAACAACUCAGCCUAAUCAGAGUUACAGGUCAAGGAUUAAUGAAAAUGAACCCAAAUUGUUUAUUGUUUAUCAGACAUUCAGGGUGCAAUUUUCUAAACAUCUCCAAAGCAAAGAUUAACCCCAACAAACUUUAGAUAACUAAUGUGUCAAUCUUUUCCCUAAGCAAAAGUAUCUAAUGCCAUGUGAGAUGUUUGGUUACCAAGGACAUCUGCAAGAUGGUGGCCAAUUCAAUGCAACACCUGCAGAAAAUCUACAGACAUUGGGAUCUCAGCAGUAGGGCAGAUGCGGUGGUCUGCAGACUCUCCGAGUGCUUAGAUGCCUACGAUGAUAAGCAUCUAAAACAAACCUUAAGUGAAAAACAUUUAUUGGUCAUCUGCAUUUUCUAUGCUGUCUCUAUAUUUAGUAGAAUGAGAUACUGAUCUUCAGUAGGACAAACUGCUCUCUGGAGGUGCCACUCUUUCUCCACUGACUUUAGAGAGAACCUUGGCUAAUUGUGUUCCUGAAGAAGGUUCUGAAUUUAGGCAUUGAGUUGGUUUUUUACAUACUGUUUUUGCUGUCUUCUAGUAGAUGUACCCUAUACAGCCUUAGACAAAAGGCUCAGUGUUUUUCAUUGCUAUUCUGUUUUCAUAAUUCAUAAUCUUGUAUUUAUUCCUUAAUUUAUUUAUUUAAAUAUUUAUUUAAAUGUAAAAAAAAUAUAGCUAAGUGCACAUGGAAAACAAAACUGAAUAAAUAAAUGAAUGAACAAAAAACACCACAAAACAACAACAACAACAACAACAACAAAACAACAAAAAAAACCUACAGCAUCACUUAUGUCUUCAUCAGAGGGCAAACCACACUUAGGAAAAAUGUUAUUCUCAGCAACUAAGUGCCAGAUUUAGCUUUGAGUACUCAGGCUUCAAAACAGCAAGCCACUUCCAGAACUAUUCCAUCAUUUGUGAAGCAUGUCUGAAAGCAUCUACAGGUAAGAUAACUAUAAUAAAAUUAUUUACGUAUUUGUUGAGACGUAUUUGUUUUAGAGGACACACGCAAAAUAAUUAUUAAAAUAAUAAAAAUCCAGCACUUCUAAGCUUGCUUCUACUCCUGUAGAAACAUGUUAUUCAAGGACAUUUAUACAUCCAAGCUGCGAGGAAGACAGUUCCAGACUUGUCUAACCUGUGCCCCCAUCUCUAACUGAAGAAUUAAAUAUUACACACUCUGACAGGUCCACACAAGCAUCUAUUCUAGGUUGUUUUGUUUUUUUCACCUUAACACAAAUCUCUUCAAGAUUUCUUGAAGUCUUUAUCUUCCAUGCUCACAUACUGGCUAUAUUCCACCAGUACAGAAGAAAGACUAAUUUGUAACAUUUUUCUUGGAUUGACUUUUUUGUGGAUUAGUUGUGGCAUGUACUCAUUACAGAAAUGUGCCAUUAUACACGUUGCAUACUUUGACUUCCAUUGUGUUUUAGGUUGCUGUCUGUUAGCAUACAUGAAACCAUGCUAAGUAACUGUUUGCUUAUUAUGAAGACACAGGGGAAAUUUAUAGAGUAGAAAAUUCUUGUCUUACUCAUCCUUCUUCCCUUUCCAGAACUCUUGGGUUUUUAAAUUCAAGACAAGAAUAUCAAGCAUGUAUUUCUACAUCUUGGAAUAUAACGUAGGACUUCUAGCAUAUGCAACAACACAGCCAUAGAAGAAUAUUAUCUAAAAAAAUGAGUAUGUCAUAUAAUAAAACAACAUAUUUUGCAAAUAUGUAUCUGCUAUUGGUUUAGCACUUCUUCUGAAAGAUGUAUUUUUCAGAUAGCUUGUGUUUUCCUGACCAGGCACUCAUAGGCAGUGCUUUUACAUUAAAUUUUUACAUGAUAUAUAUGUAUGUAUUAAUAAGAAUCUGAGAACAAAAAGCUGUAUUUACUUUCAUGAAUACAACUUGUGACUGGAACCAGAAGGAAUGCCACAGUCCAAGAAAGUCAUCUUGCUGUGCUUUUUUCUUACCUAAGAGAGCUCUGGUUUUGAACAUGGGUGAGAUGGCCAAAGAAAUACUGGGACUAUUAUCUUCUAAUAACUUCUGUCUAAAUGACAAUUACUACAAACCUGGUUCAUGUCAGAUGAAAUGCAAUAUUCUUUGCAGUGACAUGGUUCAAAAGAAAAGGUUUAAAAUCUGUGAAUGUUCCAGUCCCGUAAAAAGCAUUUCUAUCAGGCAGCAUUCACUUUAAGACAAUCUAUAGCUUUUAAUUCUUAAAAAAAAUACAUUUUUUUUUCUCUAAUGCAUACAUACAGCCCCUCUUCAGCUUUUUCAGAGUGAUGCUGUGUUAAUCUAGUGAAGGUCAGUCUGAGAAAACUCAACUAACAAAGAAAGUGCUCUUAUGAAUCGUAUCACGUCAUGUCAGGCUCACAGAUAAAUGGGCAUUAGCUAUAGAUUGAGAUACUUACCAGUUCAUCAAAUUCCUUCAUAUGUCUGGUAUUUUAUCUUUGAUUAUGUACCAUUGGGUUCAAUUUAAUAUUUUGUAAGUUAUUAGUUUGUAAUUGUUUUCAUAUAUUUGUACAUUAAAUACAGAAGGAGUGGGUGUAAUCUGAAGCACAACUGAAUUUUCUCUCCCUCUGCUACAAUAUAGAUAAUCAUGAUUUAUUAUGAUAGGUAGUAAUUUGCUUGCAAUGAAUCAUAUUUUAUCAAGAAGCAAAAUAAGUAUUUUUAUCUCUGAAGAAUUCUCUGUGCUUUUUUUCCCCUUCUUUGUGUUUCAUUUGUAACUUUUCUUUAUGGCUUAGGAGUUUCAUGACUCAGAGAGACACUAGAGCACAGCUCAAAUUUUGGACUGUAUGUUUUAAAGACAAUGUGAGAUUAAAUAGCCAAGAUAAUGGAAGAGUGAACAGAUUUACACAUCCUUACUUCUCUAACUGUUUCUGAUCUUCGGGGUAAUGUUUGUCACACCACCAUUCAGAGUAUUUGGAAAGUAGCCUGACUCACGUUUUGGCAUGACUAUAAGGAGACCUGUGUCCUAUGGCUGUCCCCCAUUUUGUUUCUUCAAAACACUUUUGUGUCUUCACUUCAUCUUGGCAGCGAGGUCUUGAUCCAUACUGACAACGAGAACAUUGGAAUUCAUUCUCCUUAAAAAAUAAACAAACAAACAACAACAACAAGGGAGUGGGAAGGAUUUUCAUUCAUGACUGACUGGGAGACUGGGAAAGCUGCAGCUAUCUGCAGUGACUGCACUGGAAAGACACCUGAGAAUGUGAGUGCUUUUCCUGGAAUUAGAAAGCAAGGGUGAAUGUGAAGAAGACUGAAGGCCUUGAUAUUAAGGAAGUCAUUUAUAUGAAAUACAGCAUGCCAUCCCAACAAAUGAUAAAAACUCAUGACUGCUGAACCAGAAAUAUCUGACUCCUUACAAUAUUUAUUGCAAAGUAGUAGUUUCCAGUGAAAAUUCCUGUGACAAAAGUGAAGGGACUAUCUGCUAUUUAGGGUAUAUGGCAGAUGGCAAUGGGUCAUGUAGUGUAUCUCCCUGACACUGUUCAUUUUCCAGGCCAGUUGGUUACAUUUGACAGGUCUACUCAGAAAUCAUUAACCUGAUCUGCCCAUGUCUGUCAUGUCUCUAGCAUAAUGCAUCUUCAUGGUAUAAGGUAAACUGGGUACCUGGAGGGUAAAGGAAAUAAAAAAGACUCAUAGCCUAUAUAAAUCAAAAGAAAAAGGAGAAAAGGAAGCCACUUAGAAGAGUAGGUGUCAUUGAUUGACUGUAAUUUUAAAGGGUCUUUCUUAUGAUGGACAAAUUUCUGAAGUGUUCAUUAACUAAUGGAAUUAUGGUGGCUGACUGCUGCUGUCUCCACAGAACAUCAGGUUAAAAAGCACAGAUAAAUAAUGGGUUUUCCUUUAUUAUGGAUCAGUGUCCUCACUGUCUGGAGCUCAUGUGAAGAUGCUGUUAAGGAUUAAGGGGCUUUCAUUACUGAAAUUCAUGUUUAUGCUUUUCUGUUCCUCAAUAAUGGUAUACACAUGCACAAGGGAAUAGGAAGGGGGAAAAGAAGGGAAGAUGGAAAUGUUGCCAGCAGAGAAGAAAAUUAUUCUGAAAUGCUUGGUAAUAAAUGCUUUUCCUACUGCAAAACACCAAAUGAAACUGAACUCAGAGGGUUAAACAAUAGAGGCAUAGCACCUGGUCUUUAAUAUAUUCAAUUAUCCAGAAAACAAAAUCAAUUUUGUUUUUGUUAAUAGCACUGAAAUAUGCAUUACACUAUUUUAAUUAAAGCAGUCUAUUACGCUUGCAAUUCAGUUCAUUCCUGCAUAUUCCCCUAGGGCAGUAGUCAUGUACUGUGAUAAAACAUAAUGAAAAUAAUUUAUAAAAGAAACAAUACAAUAAAUCAAUCUGAUGCCUAAUGAACCUUCAUUACAAGGAUGGAUGCAAUAUUUUCUUAGAAUAUGUAGUGCUUUCUCCUUAAAUUAUUGGAAGAAUGCCUCAAAGCACUUAAAAAAAUAGCACCUUUCUGCAUCUCAGCAUGCUUUCAAAGCAUCAUAUCUUAAAAUCUCAGCAUUUCUUGGCAAAACAAACAGCAAUCCCUUUCAUUUACACUAGCUUUCUGUUUUUUUCUCUUAUCUUUAGUUAGAUUCAUCUGCCUCAUAGUGACACCUGUAGAGACCACAGGGAUUUCACUCAUUUGCAUACUUUAGCAGUCAGCUCUUUAUUGUCUGUAUUCCAGUAGACCUAAAUUUUAUAGGUGAGAUAAUUUUAUGUCUGGGGACGUGAGCUAUUCAAACAUCAAGUAUAAAACAGGCUGUUCCCUGAAGAUCUCACAGUGCCAGCAGGCAAACAGAAAGCUAAAAGGUGAGACAGAGGGGCCAUUAACAUUUUCAUACCAGACGCACGGAGAAGGGCAGUAAGCAGAGGUGACGUAUUCUAAACGAUUCUGGAUGCCACCUCUGAAAGACCAGAAGUCUCCUGGAAGGACCAGAUUUCAUCAGUGAUUAUGCAGAAUGUCCAUGGCCCAGCCCAGUCCUCCCAUCUUCUAAAUGUUCACCCCGUCAUGAGAAUUUCUAUAUAUACCACUACAAGGUUAAGUUCUACCUCAUCUUGUUCUCUUGUACAGGGUAGCCAUAAUUCUGGCAGCUGUGAAUAAAUAAAGUUACUCAAUGGGAAUUCUCAGUGCCACAACCAAGCCUUUAAUAGACCUGAAGUUCCUGUGUAGUAAUUUAGGAAUAAAAAAUACUGCUCUGGUUAUUUAUUAUUUGUUCUGGAAAAAUUGGAUGUAAAUAAUGGUUCAAGACAAAUACUAUCAAUUACUUAAACACUGUUAGAGAGCAGUGGCAGAACUAUUAGCUUCUAUGUUUGUCUCCUCUUGCACCAAACCACAAAGCUGCUCUCGAGUACCACAGGACAAGCUGCUGAAGCAGUUUGCAGAGACACUCCAACAGAUUCCAGGCAGGCACCUGGAGGAGCAGUGCCAGCCGGCUGCCGAAAUGGCCUGGCAGGAGUUCAUUCCAGAGGUGCCUGCUGGUUGGGAGCAUAUCAGCUCACAGGAAGCUGUUUUGAACCUUAACACUCAGCUCAUACUGGGGUACAAAUUUAGCAGCAACAAGAAUGUUAGCAACAGCUAACAGCCACUGCUCCAUACCAUCUUGUCUUUAUGAGGAAUAGUGUCUCCUGGCUGGCCAAGGUACUGUUGCUAGUCCUGUAAUCGCUGCUGCAGAUAGGUGUUACAGGUUUGUCCUCUAAUCUGAGAGAGAGGGUAUAAAGUCCUUGGAAGCAUGCUAAUAUAUGCAGUAUUAAAUGUGUCUAAAGAAGCCGCAGAUCCCUAGGUUACCAUCAGCAGCCUUAGGUAGACAAAAAAGACAAGCUGACUGUUGUGUGGUUCUAUAAAUACUUUAUCACAAAUUUUUAUUCCUUUUGCCUAUACAACCAAAAACACUUUGCUGAAAUAGGUGAGCAAACUUAAAAUGCUCAGAUAAAGCUCACACAGACAAGCAGGUAGCAUAAAUCCUUUGCAUUUUCACUUUGUAUUCAUAGUUUCUGCCACAUGUGACUUUUUUUCUAGCUGAAAAAUUGUUUUACUUGUCAGAAAUGGUGUUCAUGUAUGAAAAACUAUCUUAGAUGGAAAAGAAGUGAUUGUGAGUGUUACUCUUGCCAUUGUUUCCUCCUAUAGCCCACAGUUUUCUGACUCCUACACUGUUUUCAGUAUAGACAAAUCAGUGAUUUUGCUCCAUUUUAAAGAGUACCACAUUAGCACAGAAGAAAAAGAAAGCCAGUAAUUCCAUUCAUAUUUUAGAUUCAUUUGUUUUGAUAGAUCUUACCUUUCAAAGUGGGAAGCAUUCAAUGUCACUUGUUUUCCCUUUUAAUGACCAAUAGCUUAUUUUAGGUAGAUAGAACAGAAAUGGAUAAGGAUAUAAAAUCUCAAGUAUCAGAGCAAAAGGUACUAUUAUUUGCCCCCAGAAUUGUCCUUCCUGAGGGACUCAUUACCACACAAUUACUGGCUGAAAGCUUUGCUCACCUUUCUUUCAUCUUUCUUGCCAUCCUUUGUCAACAAGAAACUAAUUGAUGGACUGUUGGAUUCAAGUAGAAUUACUAUCCAUUGUAUUCAUAUACCUCAUUGUAUAUUAAUUACAUUUAAAAAUCUAGAUGAUUAUUGCCAGAUAUUUAUUUUCUUGCAGAAAAGAACUUGCUAUUCAUUGCAAGUAUUCCAUCUUAUUCCAUCAUUUCAGACAGACAGAAGCCAGAGAAAAAUUAGGGAAUAAGGUAUACUGUAAAGUAAGUUAAUUAGAAUAUAAUUAAAAGUGAUAAAAUUACAGCAUAUGCCAACAUCCAUCAAGUCUUUAUGGGACAUGAGAGAACUGGAAUUUAUUACGUGGUCAGAUUUGAACUAUUUUCAACAAAAAGAAAGAAGAGGCAUCUGCCUGAUGAAUACACAGCAACUACUUUUGAUCCAAGUACUGAAUCCUUCUUAGGACUCUAUAGUACACAUGUAGAGAUUCUUUCCUAAGGUCUCUGCUUGAUUAUGUCAAAAUAAAAUAUCUUAGGGUUUUUAACAUGCAAUGAAAAUUAAAGAAACAUGGCAGAUAGAUAUACUACAAAGAAGAAUUUUCAUUCUGUGAAGUACAGUAAAUUAACAAAUAACUGGAAUAGCUUCAGCUAUUAAUGAAACAUUUAGGCAAUCUCUAAAUGUAGGCACUGCCAUAUGUGCUUAUUUCUAUGUACAUCAAGUUCUGCUCUCUGUUAUAAAUUGCAGUCAAUACCUGUCUACGAAAUGAAAGAAUUUUGGCCUAGUGCCUCUUUGGGGUAUCUCAUUCUGUUAAAUAACUUACUUCUGAGAAACUUAGCUAGAUCUUCACUAUUCAGUAACUCAUGAUUGCCUUUUUAAUUAAAAGCUUGAACCUUA